rnacentral:lncRNA from 1 species
UUCUGUUGCUGAGCUUUAAUUUGUCCUUUAGUUUAUUUUUUAAACUCAAAACUUUGUCUCUUUGUUCUGCACAAUGUGUACCAAGACUGAUUUAAAAAAUUAUGUUUUUAUGUUUCUCAAUUCAGUUAAAACAGGAACAGAUGUACCCAUAAGCAUGGCUUGUGCAUCAAUGGCAGUCAUCAUCAACAUGGCAGAGUUUGGCAGUGAACAAAGUCAACAUAGCAAGGCUGGCUUGAUCUGAUUUAAAUUUUAUUGUAAUUUAUUUUUGCCUUUAUUUUAGUUUGUAAUUUGAUUUGGUUUUAAAACUCUAAUUAGAUAAAAAUGUAAAUUUAUGAUACAUAAUAAAAUUAUUUAUUGCAAUU